rnacentral:snoRNA from 1 species
UUCAAUUUGUGUCUCAAAUGCUCCAAGAUUAUUUAUAGACGAACGGCAUCUGUUUAAUUCUUCAUAAUUGAGCAGUUACUUGUUUCGUGUACAGU